rnacentral:rRNA from 1 species
CACGAACGCUGGCGGCAGGCUUAACACAUGCAAGUCGAGCGCCCCGCAAGGGGAGCGGCAGACGGGUGAGUAACGCGUGGGAAUCUACCCAUCUCUACGGAAUAACGCAUGGAAACGUGUGCUAAUACCGUAUACGUCCUUCGGGAGAAAGAUUUAUCUGAGAUGGAUGAGCCCGCGUUGGAUUAGCUAGUUGGUGGGGUAAAGGCCUACCAAGGCGACGAUCCAUAGCUGGUCUGAGAGGAUGAUCAGCCACACUGGGACUGAGACACGGCCCAGACUCCUCCGGGAGGCAGCAGUGGGGAAUAUUGGACAAUGGGCGCAAGCCUGAUCCAGCCAUGCCGCGUGAGUGAUGAAGGCCCUAGGGUUGUAAAGCUCUUUCACCGGUGAAGAUAAUGACGGUAACCGGAGAAGAAGCCCCGGCUAACUUCGUGCCAGCAGCCGCCGUAACAC